AACGAACGCUGGCGGCAGGCCUAACACAUGCAAGUCGAACGAAGUCUUCGGACUUAUUGGCGCACGGGUGAGUAACACGUGGGAAUAUACCUUACGCUGGGGGAUAACAUCGGGAAACUGAUGCUAAUACCGCAUACGCCCUUCUGGGGAAAGAUUUAUCGGGGUAGGAUUAGCCCGCGUCCGAUUCGCUAGUUGGUGAGGUAAUGGCUCACCAAGGCUCCGAUCGGUAGCUGGUCUGAGAGGAUGACCAGCCACACUGGGACUGAGACACGGCCCAGACUCCUACGGGAGGCAGCAGUGGGGGACAUUGGAAAAUGGGCGCAAGCCUGAUCCAGCCAUGCCGCGUGAGCGAUGAAAGCCUUAGGGUUGUAAAGCUCUUUUACCCACGACGAUGAUGACGGUAGUGGGAGAAGAAGCCCCGGCUAACUUCGUG
rnacentral:rRNA from 1 species